UUCUCAUGAUAAUGUGCGGCAGGUGGGCACUGGUUCCUCGCUGGCCAGGAUGUGCUGGAGGCAGAGAGGUCUCGGAUGUCAUCGCUUACUGGUAGUGGUCCUCCUUUCGCGCACGCGACCGCAGGUUUCUAUCUGCUCCGUCGGGCAUCAUCGCAUUACCUCAGACUGCACUGGCUCUGCCUCUCCUGCCGAGCGAAGGCUUCUAACCUUCCUUCCACGAUUUUAAAGGUGAAGAGUGUCCCAUUGGCUGGAGGAGUGGAGUUCCACUUCAGAAAAAGAGCUCUCAUCUUGCAAGUUAACACAGAAACCCAUUUUAGUGGAUUGAGUAAGAUUACUGCUGCCAUUAUUUUUAGAAAAAGGAAAUAAACCCCAAGACGACUAAUUCUUGAGGUGGUAAAUGGUAAAGGAAAUGGUUCUCUUGUUACACCCAUGAUUGUUCCAGUGCCCUGGUCUUCUCCAAGAACAGGUGUGCUCUUCAACGGGUGUCUGUCAUAUGCUCAGUGUGCCACAGACCACAUCAUUUUCCCAUCUGCACACUGGGUCACCACAUCCUGAUCUUGAAAAGCUGAAAUGUAAACUGAACUAUGUUCCUUUUAGGACUCGAAGUGAUUUAUGUGAAUUAACUUCUUGCCUAAAUUUCCAUACAUUAAAGGUUUUUCUACACGUGGUUUGCCUUGCCUUGAGGAAAUGAAACAUAUAAACCAAGACCUUUUCAUUACAUGCUAUUUUAUAUGCCAAGAGGCAAAAGUAUUUGUUUCGUGUAUUUGUUUCAUGUAUUUGUUUCAUAUAUAUAAUUUUAGGUUUCUCAGUGUUUUUAAUUAUGGCUUGUUUUAGCAAAAUGGUUUUUUUAUUUUUUUAUUUUUAUUUUAUUUUUUUAUUUUUUUUAAAGAUUUUAUUUAUUUAUCCGACAGAGAUAGAGACAGCCAGCAGAGAGGGAACACAAGCGGGGGGAGUGGGAGAGGAAGAAGCAGGCUCACAGCGGAGGAGCCUGAUGUGGGGCUCGAUCCCAUAACGCUGGGAUCACGCCCUGAGCCGAAGGCAGACGCUUAACCGCUGUGCCACCCAGGCGCUCCAAAAUGGUUUUUUUAAAAAAGAUUUUAGAGAGAGAUAAAGAGAGAGCACAAGAGUGAGUGGGGGGAGGGGCAAAGGGAGGGAAUCUUCAAGCAGACACCCCGUUGAGCUCGAGCACGAGCAUGGAGCCCAGCUCAUGGCUCUAUCUCACCACCCUGAGAUCAUGACCUGAGCCAAAACCAAGAGUAGGAUGUUUAACUGACUGAACCAGCCAGGUGCCCCAGCAAAAUGGUUCUGGAAGUCAAUCUUCUCCGGUUUAAAUCCUAGCUCUGUAGUUAUUAGCUCUGUGUCUCUGGAAGAGCUAAGGAACCUCCCUGGGCCUCUCUUCCCCUCACAUUUAAAAUAAGGCUAAUCCGGGCCCUGUUGGGAGGAUGAAAUAAGCUAAUACUACAUUUUAAGUUUUGAGAAUGGUUUUUAUAUUUAUGUAUUUUUUUGGAAUAGCAUUUAGAGCAUAGUAAGUGUUCGUUAAGUCUUAUACCUGCCAUUCAAACCCAGAAUAGUUCAAUAGAAGGAAAGGCAAGAGAACAAGCUUAAAAUCACCAAGAUCUAGAUUUUAAUCUAAAUUCCUGGUCCUUGCUUCAUCUAGAAAAUUACUGAACCUUUCGGAGCUUCAAUGUCCUUACUUGUGAAAUGGGAAUAAUGCUAUCUACUGUGUAAAUGCUACUGUGAGGCUUAAAUAAAAUAAUGAAAAAAAAUUAUGUGUGAUAGAUA
rnacentral:lncRNA from 1 species